AUUGAACGCUGGCGGCAGGCCUAACACAUGCACGUCGAGCGGAGCGGCGGACGGGUGAGUAAUGCCUAGGAAACUGCCUGGUAGUGGGGGAUAACGUCCGGAAACGGGCGCUAAUACCGCAUACUAUCAGAUGAGCCUAGGCCGGAUUAGCUAGUUGGUGGGGUAACGGCCUACCAAGGCGACGAUCCGUAACUGGUCUGAGAGGAUGAUAAGUCACACUGCAAAUGAGACACGGUCCAGACGCAGACGGGAGGCAGCAGGGGGUAAUAGUGGACAAUGGGCGAAAGCCUGAGCCAGCCAUGGCGGGUGUGUGAAGAAGGUCUUCGGAUUGUAAAGCACUUUAAGUUGGGAGGCGUUACCAACAGAAUAAGCACCGGCUAACUUCGUGCCAGCAGCCGCGGUAAUUC
rnacentral:rRNA from 1 species